UCCUGAUGUCUCAUUUGUAGGAGAAUUUAUUGCUCCCUACUGCAUGGGAAGGGAGACUUACACUUGACUAGAAAAUGCUUUAAACUGCAGAGCACUCUGGCAAAGCGCUCAGAUCAGCAUCCCCACCUUGCAGGCUGCAUUUGACUUUCCCUCYAGGAGUGCUGGAUUUUCUCUAAAAUCCCGCUGUCUUGCUCAGUGAAUGACAUGAUGGGCAGUGGAGAGACUGACUGACUGCUCAGUGAGGGAUAGUCCCCUUGGAUACUGGGGAACGCUGGCCUACAAGAUUAAUCUCAAGACAUGUUGCCAUGGGUUCCCUCUGCAGCGCUGCAAUGAGAGCUCUGGGGACAGCCCAAAGACCUUUUCAUACACUGGGGCAGAAGUUACCUGUUGCACCAUUGGAGCACGGACACCCCUGAUGGAGACAGGAUCCCCACCUUACCGGAUGCUACAUAAACAGCCAAAAUCAGCAGCCCUUGGCCCAGGUUUUUUAAUAAAAAUUACCCCAUAAGAAGAGGUAUAACUAGRCAAUGCUUGGAGAGAGGUGGGUAUUAACAGAUGUUGUGGGUUAAGGUUUCUCCUUUUGUUUCCUUUCUCGGGGAUUUUUUCUUUCCCAUUUUGUUGCUGGGAUACACU